rnacentral:rRNA from 1 species
UACGUAGGGGGGCUAGCGUUGUCCGGAAUCAUUGGGCGUAAAGCGCGCGUAGGCGGCCCGGUAAGUCCGCUGUGAAAGUCAAAGGCUCAACCUUUGAAUGUCAGCGGAUACUGCCGGGCUAGAGUCCGGAAGAGGCGAGUGGAAUUCCUGGUGUAGCGGUGGAAUGCGCAGAUAUCAGGAGGAACACCAACGGCGAAGGCAGCUCGCUGGGACGGUACUGACGCUGAGGCGCGAAAGCGUGGGGAGCGAACAGG